AGCUGGCACCCAUUUGAUCAAAUUGGGGGAUUUGAUUGAGCAAUUAGAGAUCUUUGAAGGAUUGAGCUCCGGGCAAGCUUCUUAUGGUUUAUUGGUUUUAAAUUUUGAUACAUGCAGUUUUGGGUGGCUUUAAUGAAUUUGGGAUCUUCAAUUUUGUUUAGAUUGUGAAACUCUAUAAUCCAAGAAUACUAUCAGCUUGCAUAAUAUGAUAACCAUAUAUCUAAUGGCCUUAUUAAGUGAUAACCAUCAUCGUGUCCAGCUAAGUAGAGCUCUAACAUAACCUAAGGUCCAAACUUUAUCUGUGAUAACACAAAUGUUUCAAUUGAAAUCAUUCAGAUCAUUAAAACACAAAGAUGUAGAAUUUAUUAAUUUUCAUUGUAAACUACACCCUCCAUUUAUGUAUUUGACUAUUUUUGUGUUUCACUGUUGAAUUUGAACAAAGAAUAGCAUGACUUACACAUUUAUUUCAAUUUCACUUUAGACCUAACCGGAAACAUUGGAGUUGACUUUUAGUCCAGUUUCACAAUGUUAGUAACCGAAAGAAGCAUUAGCUUUCCUGCUAGCCAAAUCUUAAUUGGAAUGGAACAUCUUGGCCGGUACUUGAUGUUGCUUUGAAAUUGUUGUUUAGUCUGGUUGGAAUUGAAUUAGUGUUCUAUUCAUAUCUAGAAAUGGUUUAGUCAUAAACAAGUAUAUAAAGGCAGCAAUAUCUCACAGAAAUCAAUUUGAAAUGGUUUGUAUAUAUUUGCAUUCUGUUUGUAAGAUAACUUGCCAUCAAUCAUUAUUAUAUGUGAUAAUUGAGAUUUGUCUUGGUGUCGGAUUGUGAUUGUGGAAUCCCUGAAGGUGGUUAGCUUGCAAGGAUUUGCCUCAAUUUUGGAGCCUAACCUCUG
rnacentral:lncRNA from 1 species